rnacentral:tRNA from 1 species
GGAGCGACUGUGCAGCGGGGGAGCACGCUUGGAAAGCGUGUUGGGGGCAGCCCCUCACGAGUUCGAAUCUCGUAUCCUCCGCCA